rnacentral:rRNA from 1 species
UACGAAGGGUGCAAACGUUGCUCGGAAUUAUUGGGCGUAAAGCGCACGUAGGCGGCUUUGCAAGUCGGAUGUGAAAGCCCACGGCUCAACCGUGGAAGUGCAUCCGAAACUGCAUGGCUUGAGUCUCGGAGAGGAAGGUGGAAUGCUUGGUGUAGAGGUGAAAUUCGUAGAUAUCAAGCAGAACACCUGCGGCGAAGGCGGCCUUCUGGACGAUGACUGACGCUGAGACGCGAAAGCGUGGGGAGCAAACAGG